GACGAACGCUGGCGGCGUGCUUAACACAUGCAAGUCGAACGGAAAGGCACUGCUUUUGUGGGGUGCUCGAGUGGCGAACGGGUGAGUAACACGUGAGUAACCUGCCCUUGACUUUGGGAUAACUUCAGGAAACUGGGGCUAAUACCGGAUAGGAGCUCCUGCUGCAUGGUGGGGGUUGGAAAGUUUCGGCGGUUGGGGAUGGACUCGCGGCUUAUCAGCUUGUUGGUGGGGUAGUGGCUUACCAAGGCUUUGACGGGUAGCCGGCCUGAGAGGGUGACCGGCCACAUUGGGACUGAGAUACGGCCCAGACUCCUACGGGAGGCAGCAGUGGGGAAUAGUGCACAAUGGGCGGAAGCCUGAUGCAGCAACGCCGCGUGCGGGAUGACGGCCUUCGGGUUGUAAACCGCUUUCGCCUGUGACGAAGCGUGAGUGACGGUAAUGGGUAAAGAAGCACCGGCUAACUACGUG
rnacentral:rRNA from 1 species